UACGUAGGGUGCGAGCGUUGUCCGGAAUUAUUGGGCGUAAAGAGCUUGUAGGCGGUCUGUCGCGUCUGCUGUGAAAAUCCGGGGCUCAACCCCGGACUUGCAGUGGGUACGGGCAGACUAGAGUGUGGUAGGGGAGACUGGAAUUCCUGGUGUAGCGGUGAAAUGCGCAGAUAUCAGGAGGAACACCGAUGGCGAAGGCAGGUCUCUGGGCAGUAACUGACGCUGAGACGCGAAAGCGUGGGGGAGCAAACAGG
rnacentral:rRNA from 1 species